rnacentral:rRNA from 1 species
UACAGAGGGGGCAAGGGUUGUUCGGAAUUACUGGGCGUAAAGGGCGCGUAGGCGGCCUUCUAAGUCGAACGUGAAAUCCCCGGGCUCAACCCGGGAACUGCGUCCGAUACUGGAAGGCUUGAAUCCGGGAGAGGGAUGUGGAAUUCCAGGUGUAGCGGUGAAAUGCGUAGAUAUCUGGAGGAACACCGGUGGCGAAGGCGACAUCCUGGACCGGUAUUGACGCUGAGGCGCGAAAGCCAGGGGAGCAAACGGG